rnacentral:rRNA from 1 species
UACAGAGGGUGCGAGCGUUAAUCGGAAUUACUGGGCGUAAAGCGUGCGUAGACGGUAGCGUAAGUCAGAUGUGAAAGCCCCGGGCUCAACCUGGGAAUUGCAUUUGAGACUGCUCUGCUCGGGUGCGGAAGAGGGAAGCGGAAUUUCCGGUGUAGCGGUGAAAUGCGUAGAUAUCGGAAGGAACACCAGUGGCGAAAGCGGCUUCCUGGUCCGACACCGACGCUCAGGCACGAAAGCGUGGGGAGCAAACAGG